UAGAAGGUAGUAUAAGUGGUAGUACAUGAAGUUUUGGACUUUAUGGUAUAGGUUCGUGGCCUAUUCUUCUA
rnacentral:tRNA from 1 species